rnacentral:snRNA from 1 species
GGAUGUGAGGCAAGUUGGCUGCGACCUCUGUCACCCACUGAUCGCCAGGGUUGGCUCUGCGGGGCUGGCCGGCCGGCUGGCUGGCGUCCCCUUCCUUGCUCAGGGCUCUACAUGGUCCCUCCCGAAGCUCUCUGGGUCGAGGAGGACGACCGCCUCAACAGAGGAGGACCGCUCCUCCGCCAGGGCUACGCGAGUGGCUGCGCUCCCCUGCUGGGGCCUCCAAACAAGCUCUCAAAAAAGUACCAUUCACAAUCACUGAAAAAUAAAAUAUUGGGGGUAAGUUUAACGAAUUGUGCAGGAUCUGUGUGCUUACAACGGCAC